CCAAUAGCGUAUAUUAAAGUUGUUGCAGUUAAAAAGCUCGUAGUUGAAUUUCGGAAUCAAUAUGUUGGUCGUGCCUUGGUACGUACUAGUUUAUUGGUUUCUUCCUUCUGACGAACCAUGAUGUCAUUAAUUUGGUGUCUUGGGGAAUCAGGACUGUUACUUUGAAAAAAUUAGAGUGUUUAAAGCAGGCUCACGCUUGAAUACAUUAGCAUGGAAUAAUGAAAUAGGACGUUUGAUUCUAUUUUGUUGGUUUCUAGGAUCGACGUAAUGAUUAAUAGGGAUAGUUGGGGGCAUUAGUAUUCAAUUGUCAGAGGUGAAAUUCUUGGAUUUAUUGAAGACUAACUACUGCGAAAGCAUUUGCCAAGGAUGUUUUCAUUAAUCAAGAACGAAAGUUAGGGGAUCGAAGACGAUCAGAUACCGUCGUAGUCUUAACCAUAAACUAUGCCGACUAGGGAUCGGAUGAUGUUAAUUUUUUAAUGACUCAUUCGGCGCCUUACG
rnacentral:rRNA from 1 species